UCUAGAGAAAAUCCUUCAGUCGUAGCGCCCACACUUAUCGGCUGUGCAUGAUCAGCAUGCCUGCCGAACGGGUCUGUAGCUCAGUUGGUUAGAGCACACGCUUGAUAAGCGUGGGGUCGGUGGUUCAAGUCCACCCAGACCCACCAACCGACUGACUCCGGGAAAUCGCUCCGAAGCAGGGGCCAUAGCUCAGCUGGGAGAGCGCCUGCUUUGCAAGCAGGAGGUCACCGGUUCGAUCCCGGUUGGCUCCACCAGGAUUCCAGGCAUCUCAUCGCCAAACGCCUCGCAAGGGCGCUUCGCGAUUAGUUGUUGUUCGGCUGCUUCUUUAAAAAUUCGGAAGAAGUGAAGCGAACCCGGUCUCUCAACCGGGUUCGUCUGGGUAGUGAUUGCAUUAUGAGCAGUGGGGAUUUGUCUCCUCAUUGCUCACCAAGCGCUCCCUAUGGUCCUAAGUUCCGGCGCCGAGCCGAGCUCAGGGUUAUAGG
rnacentral:tRNA from 1 species